AAUGACUAAGCAUAAACAACCUCUCCAGGAGAAGGAACCAGUGUGUUUACACAAAAUGUUUGUCCUUUUCCUAAGGAAACUGGGAAGCAAGAUUUGGAAUUUACCAAGAAGGAAGAGGUGGUGGAGGAAGAGGAAAAAAAGAAGAGGAAGAAGAAAAAGAAGGAGAAAAGGAAGAAGAAAGGCCGACGUUUAUCGAUUGUUACUCCUUGCCACACUCUCUUCUUUACGCAACUCCUGCAACUAUUGGUGAGAGCUGUGAAAGAAAGACCCCAGAGAAGCAUUUAAAGUGACAUCACCAUGCCAAUCCCAACUCACUGGAACCAGGGGGAAACAACAGCUAGACCUGAUUAAAUGCAAUGAAGAUAAAUCCUGGUGACAACUCCUUUAGCUGUUUAGAGCUGGUGCUAAUUGUUCAUUGAGCUCCAAGGAAAGAGCAGGUAAAGCAAUGCCCAAAGUAUAGCCGAUAAAAUUUAUUUUAUAACCUCAUAUUCAUACCUGCCAGUAGGAAUCCUCCGGCUUUGCGGUUUAUCCAUCCACCCAUCCACCCCUCCUUCCAUUCAUUAUUCAUUCAUUCAACACAUAUUAUUGCUUGCUUUCGAGAUGCUCACCCGCUAGACACCAGUGAUGCAGCAGUAAGCCAAACAGAUGUGGCGUUGCUUUCCUAGGGUUUCCAGUCUGUUGGAAAGACAUAACUUACAUAUUUACAAGUAUGAUGAAUUUCAGGAACAAGACAAGAAGGAUACUCUGAAAGUUUGUCACAGGAGAACCUGAUGCCAUCAGAAGAAGCAGAAAGACUCCCUAAAAGAAAUGAUGGCUUACCUGAGACCCAGACAAUGAGAGACUGGGGAGGAAGCCCCUAGAGCUGAGGAGUAGCAGGUGCCAAGGCCCUGGGGUAGGCCGCAAGUGCUGGGUACAUGUGAGAAACUGAGACCUACCUAAUGGGCGGGGUGUAGAUGGGGAGUGGGAGUUGGGGCAUGGUGAGCCUUAUUAUGGCCCAAGCUGAGCCACGAACAACAAACUAGGAGGAAAAAAAAAAAAAGAAUGAUGUCAAUA